rnacentral:rRNA from 1 species
UACGGAGGGUGCAAACGUUGCUCGGAAUCAUUGGGCGUAAAGCGCACGUAGGUGGCUUGUUAAGUCGGGUGUGAAAUCCCUGGGCUCAACCCAGGAAGUGCACUCGAAACUGGCGAGCUUGAGUACUGAAGAGGGUCGCGGAAUUCCCGGUGUAGAGGUGAAAUUCGUAGAUAUCGGGAGGAACACCAGUGGCGAAGGCGGCGACCUGGGCAGAUACUGACACUGGAGGUGCAGAAAGCGGUGGGGAGCAAACAACGG